rnacentral:lncRNA from 1 species
GUCAUGCAGAGGGUAGCCCCAGCAGGUGACAUGACUUUAAGUUCCCAUAUCAUCUAGAGCUUGAGCCUGGCCCUGGGGCUCCAAGGAAGAGUCUUAUGUCACCUCCAGGUGGAUGUCACCAAGAGCCAACAAAGCAUCUUCAGGCACCACGUGUGACUCAGUCAUCGGGGCUGUGAUGGGGCCUGUGACGGGUCCAGCCAGCCUUCCCUUGCCUGGACUGCCCAGCUGCUUCUCCUAGAAGCCUCACUACUCCAGCCCAGGGACCCUAAAGCACUGAGGAGUGGGACCCAGUUCCUUCUACCUGGCUGCUCAAGGCUCCUCCCUGCUGGCCUGUGGUUCCUGCUGCCUCUUCUCUCCACACCCCGUCUACCCUCAGUGGAGGCUGUCUUCUAUGUUGAGUCUUGGAAUCUGUUCCAUCCAGUUUCUUCCUGCACAGAGUCCCUACAGGCCAGCUCUCCGAAGCCACCAUCUUCAUGCACCAGCUGACUCACAAACCAGUGUGUGAUGGGGUCAUGUGGACCCAGUGACCACUGUGGUCUGUGCUGACAGCAUGGGAAGCUGCUGGAGGGUGUCAUCCUGGCAGGAGCACAGUCAGCUCUCCUUCCUUCACUGGGGGAUCUUGUCUCUACUUCAGGAGACUCUGGGACCAGGGAGGUGUGUCUGAGAGACAUUCAGUGGUUGUGGUCACUCCCUAAAGAACUUAUUCCGCAUCACCCACCUUCCAAAGGCUUUGAAAUUUAUUUCAGACUCGAGUUUCUGGAAAAGUGGAAUGGGCCUACUUUUCCCUAUUCCUCUCACUAGGUAUAGCUAAACCCCUAAGAUAUUAUAUUAGAAAACAAAUGCAAGGAGAAACCAAAAGAUGAGGAGAAGGCAGCCGAUGGACCAGGGACCUUGGGACCCCACAAAUAAAAGGCGAGUGACUUUCUUUUCACAUCACAAAUCCCAGACUGAGCAUUAGAGCAGAUGGAAACCCAGAAAUGCCAAGGGGCACAGACAGAAGCCCCAAGAAAGCUGAGCUCUCAUCAACCAAAGCAACAGGCAAGGGUAGUGUAGAAAGGCAAAACUUUCAGGUCAUAGCCAGUGGACUCUGGCAGAUAGCACAGAAAGAACUGUGGUCUCAUCCCAUUCCAGCCUCUCCAGAGAGCAAGUGGAGACUGGGAUUUUCACCCUUACUGCACUGUAAUAAGUCCAACUGUCUCACCAGUGCUGUAAAGACCAGCAGGGUAGCAGGACUUCAUCCCCAGUAGAUGAAAGAGGAU